GCUCCUUUAUGCACUGAGCCACCUCUCCGGAGGGCUUUCUGACUUUUCAUCCAAGCAGCCCAGGGCCUUUUGGUACCAUGAGUUUCUCAUUCGGGUUUUGUUCCCCUCCUCUUCAGCUCGAGAGUAAGAAGGAAGGAUCGAGCUGUCAGAAAGAAUGGCUUGUUGCUACCAGGAUCCAGAGACAAUGAACUGUACAGAAGUUUUGGGUACAAAUACCGAUGGUUUCCUUUCUGCUUUCUGUUUCCAGCCCUUGGGCCCCCUAGUUAACACCCUUUACUACCCUCCUCCUCAGCAUCUGCUCCUCCAUGCCAGGAUAAGCACAGCAGUGAGACAAACCAGCCUUGUCACCCAGGGGUGGACGAGAUGCAGGCUUGUGUGAGAGACGGUGCGGUGCGAUAGACUUCAAAACCUAAGGUAACCCAGAUCCAGGGAUGAUGCUCUGCCUCCUAAGAAGCCGCCCCAGAGUCCCAGAGGGCACUGAGGAGAGGCGCACACCUGUGGUCACCGCGUCCUGAAUGUGCGCAUCCUCACAUCCGCGCUCCAUCCCAGAGGCUUCUGAAGCAGGGCUAAGGCUAGGCACUGGCACUUGGAGAGAAAUCAGAGCAGCUCUCUGAAAUUGAGAAUGAAGCCCCCUCUUCCUGGAGCCUUGCAGACUGUUGG
rnacentral:lncRNA from 1 species